UUAAGCGACUAAGCGUACACGGUGGAUGCCCUGGCAGUCAGAGGCGAUGAAGGGCGUGCUAAUCUGCGAUAAGCGCCGGUAAGGUGAUAUGAACCGUUAUAACCGGCGAUACCCGAAUGGGGAAACCCAGUGUGACUCGUCACACUAUCAUUAACUGAAUCCAUAGGUUAAUGAGGCGAACCGGGGGAACUGAAACAUCUAAGUACCCCGAGGAAAAGAAAUCAACCGAGAUUCCCCCAGUAGCGGCGAGCGAACGGGGAGGAGCCCAGAGCCUGAAUCAGCAUGUGUGUUAGUGGAAGCGUCUGGAAAGGCGCGCGAUACAGGGUGACAGCCCCGUACACAAAAGCGCAUGUGCUGUGAGCUCGAUGAGUAGGGCGGGACACGUGGUAUCCUGUCUGAAUAUGGGGGGACCAUCCUCCAAGGCUAAAUACUCCUGACUGACCGAUAGUGAACCAGUACCGUGAGGGAAAGGCGAAAAGAACCCCGGCGAGGGGAGUGAAAAAGAACCUGAAACCGUGUACGUACAAGCAGUGGGAGCACAGGUUUACCUGUGUGACUGCGUACCUUUUGUAUAAUGGGUCAGCGACUUAUAUUCUGUAGCAAGGUUAACCGUAUAGGGGAGCCGUAGGGAAACCGAGUCUUAACCGGGCGUUAAGUUGCAGGGUAUAGACCCGAAACCCGGUGAUCUAGCCAUGGGCAGGUUGAAGGUUGGGUAACACUAACUGGAGGACCGAACCGACUAAUGUUGAAAAAUUAGCGGAUGACCUGUGGCUGGGGGUGAAAGGCCAAUCAAACCGGGAGAUAGCUGGUUCUCCCCGAAAGCUAUUUAGGUAGCGCCUCGUGAAUUCAUCUCCGGGGGUAGAGCACUGUUUCGGCUAGGGGGCCAUCCCGGCUUACCAACCCGAUGCAAACUGCGAAUACCGGAGAAUGUUAUCACGGGAGACACACGGCGGGUGCUAACGUCCGUCGUGAAGAGGGAAACAACCCAGACCGCCAGCUAAGGUCCCAAAGUCAUGGUUAAGUGGGAAACGAUGUGGGAAGGCCCAGACAGCCAGGAUGUUGGCUUAGAAGCAGCCAUCAUUUAAAGAAAGCGUAAUAGCUCACUGGUCGAGUCGGCCUGCGCGGAAGAUGUAACGGGGCUAAACCAUGCACCGAAGCUGCGGCAGCGACGCUUAUGCGUUGUUGGGUAGGGGAGCGUUCUGUAAGCCUGUGAAGGUGGCCUGUGAGGGUUGCUGGAGGUAUCAGAAGUGCGAAUGCUGACAUAAGUAACGAUAAAGCGGGUGAAAAGCCCGCUCGCCGGAAGACCAAGGGUUCCUGUCCAACGUUAAUCGGGGCAGGGUGAGUCGACCCCUAAGGCGAGGCCGAAAGGCGUAGUCGAUGGGAAACGGGUUAAUAUUCCCGUACUUGGUGUUACUGCGAAGGGGGGACGGAGAAGGCUAUGUUGGCCGGGCGACGGUUGUCCCGGUUUAAGCGUGUAGGCUGGUUUUCCAGGCAAAUCCGGAAAAUCAAGGCUGAGGCGUGAUGACGAGGCACUACGGUGCUGAAGCAACAAAUGCCCUGCUUCCAGGAAAAGCCUCUAAGCAUCAGGUAACAUCAAAUCGUACCCCAAACCGACACAGGUGGUCAGGUAGAGAAUACCAAGGCGCUUGAGAGAACUCGGGUGAAGGAACUAGGCAAAAUGGUGCCGUAACUUCGGGAGAAGGCACGCUGACACGUAGGUGAAGUGAUUUACUCAUGGAGCUGAAGUCAGUCGAAGAUACCAGCUGGCUGCAACUGUUUAUUAAAAACACAGCACUGUGCAAACACGAAAGUGGACGUAUACGGUGUGACGCCUGCCCGGUGCCGGAAGGUUAAUUGAUGGGGUCAGCGCAAGCGAAGCUCCUGAUCGAAGCCCCGGUAAACGGCGGCCGUAACUAUAACGGUCCUAAGGUAGCGAAAUUCCUUGUCGGGUAAGUUCCGACCUGCACGAAUGGCGUAAUGAUGGCCAGGCUGUCUCCACCCGAGACUCAGUGAAAUUGAACUCGCUGUGAAGAUGCAGUGUACCCGCGGCAAGACGGAAAGACCCCGUGAACCUUUACUAUAGCUUGACACUGAACAUUGAGCCUUGAUGUGUAGGAUAGGUGGGAGGCUUUGAAGCGUGGACGCCAGUCUGCGUGGAGCCGACCUUGAAAUACCACCCUUUAAUGUUUGAUGUUCUAACGUGGACCCGUGAUCCGGGUUGCGGACAGUGUCUGGUGGGUAGUUUGACUGGGGCGGUCUCCUCCUAAAGAGUAACGGAGGAGCACGAAGGUUGGCUAAUCCUGGUCGGACAUCAGGAGGUUAGUGCAAUGGCAUAAGCCAGCUUGACUGCGAGCGUGACGGCGCGAGCAGGUGCGAAAGCAGGUCAUAGUGAUCCGGUGGUUCUGAAUGGAAGGGCCAUCGCUCAACGGAUAAAAGGUACUCCGGGGAUAACAGGCUGAUACCGCCCAAGAGUUCAUAUCGACGGCGGUGUUUGGCACCUCGAUGUCGGCUCAUCACAUCCUGGGGCUGAAGUAGGUCCCAAGGGUAUGGCUGUUCGCCAUUUAAAGUGGUACGCGAGCUGGGUUUAGAACGUCGUGAGACAGUUCGGUCCCUAUCUGCCGUGGGCGCUGGAGAACUGAGGGGGGCUGCUCCUAGUACGAGAGGACCGGAGUGGACGCAUCACUGGUGUUCGGGUUGUCAUGCCAAUGGCACUGCCCGGUAGCUAAAUGCGGAAGAGAUAAGUGCUGAAAGCAUCUAAGCACGAAACUUGCCCCGAGAUGAGUUCUCCCUGAGACUUAGAGUCUCCUGAAGGAACGUUGAAGACGACGACGUUGAUAGGCCGGGUGUGUAAGCGCAGCGAUGCGUUGAGCUAACCGGUACUAAUGAACCGUGAGGCUUAACCUU
rnacentral:rRNA from 1 species